UACGAAGGGGGGCUAGCGUUGCUCGGAAUGACUGGGCGUAAAGGGCGCGUAGGCGGAUGGCACAGUCAGAUGUGAAAUUCCCGGGCUUAACCUGGGGGCUGCAUUUGAUACGUGUGAUCUAGAGUGAGGAAGAGGGUCGUGGAAUUCCCAGUGUAGAGGUGAAAUUCGUAGAUAUUGGGAAGAACACCGGUGGCGAAGGCGGCGACCUGGUCCUUGACUGACGCUGAGGCGCGAAAGCGUGGGGAGCAGACAGG
rnacentral:rRNA from 1 species